CCUACGGGAGGCAGCAGUGAGGAAUAUUGGUCAAUGGGCGAGAGUCUGAACCAGCCAAGUAGCGUGAAGGAUGACUGCCCUAUGGGUUGUAAACUUCUUUUAUAAAGGAAUAAAGUGAUCCACGUGUGGGUUUUUGUAUGUACUUUAUGAAUAAGGAUCGGCUAACUCCGUGCCAGCAGCCGCGGUAAUACGGAGGAUCCGAGCGUUAUCCGGAUUUAUUGGGUUUAAAGGGAGCGUAGGUGGGUUGUUAAGUCAGUUGUGAAAGUUUGCGGCUCAACCGUAAAAUUGCAUUUGAAACUGGCAGUCUUGAGUACAGUUGAGGUAGGCGGAAUUCGUGGUGUAGCGGUGAAAUGCUUAGAUAUCACGAAGAACUCCGAUUGCGAAGGCAGCUCACUAAACUGCAACUGACACUGAUGCUCGAAAGUGUGGGUAUCAAACAGGAUUAGAUACCCGAGUAGUC
rnacentral:rRNA from 1 species